GAGCCGAGCUUCUACUACGAGCGGUCUGCUCCGAGCUCCUACUGCAGGCUGGCUAUUCCAGACGUCUACUGUAAGUAAAUCUCAUUCAAACUUCUACUAUAAACAAAUUUCUUCCGAACUUCUAUUACAGGUAGAUUUCAGCCGAGCUACUCCGUAGCGAGUGGAUUCUGGAUGAACUUCUACGACGGGACACCACUCCGAGCUUUCAUGACAACUGGUCCUCGCCC
rnacentral:lncRNA from 1 species